CCUACGGGAGGCAGCAGUGAGGAAUAUUGGUCAAUGGGAGAGAUCCUGAACCAGCCAAGCCGCGUGAGGGAAGACGGCCCUAUGGGUUGUAAACCUCUUUUGUCGGAGAAUAAAACCCGGGACGUGUCCCGGACUGCGUGUAUCCGAAGAAAAAGCAUCGGCUAACUCCGUGCCAGCAGCCGCGGUAAUACGGAGGAUGCGAGCGUUAUCCGGAUUUAUUGGGUUUAAAGGGUGCGUAGGCGGUCCGUUAAGUCAGCGGGAAAAUUGCGGGGCUCAACCCCGUCGAGCCGUUGAAACUGGCAGACUUGAGUGUGCGAGAGGUAGGCGGAAUGCGCGGUGUAGCGGUGAAAUGCAUAGAUAUCACGCAGAACUCCGAUUGCGAAGGCAGCGUACCGGCGCCAGACUGACGCUGAGGCACGAAAGCGUGGGGAUCGAACAGGAUUAGAUACCCUUGUAGUC
rnacentral:rRNA from 1 species